rnacentral:lncRNA from 1 species
CAGUUUCCUGCUCCUUGUAUGACAGGAACUACUGAGCUCUUGUGUCAGGAAGUGAUGAUCGGGUAAAUCCCUUCUGCUGCACGCCUGACAUUUCCCAAGACAUGAGUCACAGCUGAAGCGUUCCUGAGGCAUCUCACACUUACCACGGGAAGUUGUACCUGCUGUGCAGUGGGGCAGGGAGGAGACGCGCGCCAGCUGGGACGCGUCAGGAAAACAGGGGUUUCAGAAUAAGUAUUCUCCAUUGUUUAAAGUCAAGAAGGGUCAGAGAAAGAGAGACCUUGAAUCGUCAGCAGUUCUUCAUUCCAUUUUCACCAUUGGUCCCUGUGUCUCUCACCUGGAUUGAACUAAAAUCCCAGUUGUUUGUACCAGGAAUUCCUGUUGGAGGCAGAUCAGGAUUUAUCCUUCUCAGCAUGGACCUAUUCUAAAAUAACAUUGAAACCUGAGGAGAGGAAACAAUCUCCAGUUUCAUCAAUGGUCUGCAAGUUGCAGCGGACAGCAGAGAGACGAGGUGGUGAACAAAGACACUCGGAGCCAAGAUUCUGAAAUGUGCUUGUGUAGGUUAGAGAAGAGCCACUUCAUGUCUGAAACGGACUUGAACUCAUCUGAAAAUCUGACUAUUUGCAUUCUUCAAUGAGAGCUGCCAGCUGCCAAAGUCAUUGUCGAAAAGCCAUCCUGAGGUGUCAAAACUCCAUUUUAACAUCUCUCAUAGAAGUAACUGCUUUUCACAUUUGCUGAUUUUACAUGAUGAACAAAACCAUGGCUGGAUGUCAACUGGAAUCUGUAGUAGAAGGGUGUCCUUAUGUCAACAUGUUUGUCACAGAAAAGAGCAGGACCUGAGCUGUUGAAGCUCACUGAGUUCGGGUGAAGAAUAGCAGGCAAGGGGUUCUUGAUGCUUUCUUUGCUAGCGGUUGGUUAGGCAGGCCUGUGCUGUCUGAGGGAGGCACAGGGUGACUGGCUAGGUUUUAACCAAAGGAGAGAGAGCAGCCAAAGGGCAAGG